CCGGUCCGGUUUCCCGUGGAGUUCCCCGCUUGGCGCUUGCUUGCGCUUCUUGGAGUACUGGUCGGGUUUCACCCCCAUCAGUUGGCGCCGUCUGUGAUUCAAAGAUACUCACGAAAAAAGCUCCUCGACUUUUUCGAAAAAAGUGAUCGACUUUUUUCCAAGUCGCCAGCUAGGGAGUCUUGCGAGGAAAUCAGCCAGCAAGGGAUCAACUUUUCAGAAGAUCGACUUUUUCUUCCAAGGAAAAAAGUCGAUCCCUCAAGGAGCUAGGCUUUCAGGCAUCGACUUCCAAGGAAUCCUCCAAGUGCACUAGGGAUCGACUUUUUGAAGAUCGACUUUUUCUUUCCAAGCAAAAGUCGA
rnacentral:lncRNA from 1 species